rnacentral:rRNA from 1 species
UACGGAGGGUGCAAGCGUUAUCCGGAUUCACUGGGUUUAAAGGGUGCGUAGGUGGGUUGGUAAGUCAGUGGUGAAAUCCCCGAGCUUAACUCGGGAACUGCCAUUGAUACUAUCAGUCUUGAAUACCGUGGAGAUGAGCGGAAUAUGUCAUGUAGCGGUGAAAUGCUUAGAUAUGACAUAGAACACCAAUUGCGAAGGCAGCUCGUUACACGAAUAUUGACACUCAGGCACGAAAGCGUGGGGAUCAAACAGG